GAACAAUCUUCUGCUGUCUGCACAAACAGAAAAAAAUCUACGUGUUUAUCUCUGCCUGAGAAGCAGUCUGCAGCAAAAUGGCUUUCACUCAUUAGGACUUACUAGUUUGGGUUUCAUGCUAUAUUGACCCACAGACACGUAGCUCCUAGCUGUCUUGGAGAGCAGACAAAUCUAUUCAUGACUUCGAGAUUUCUGGCAGGCGCAGUCCGUGAAGGUAUUGAUCUUGAUUAAAAGCUGUUCUCCAGAUGUUUGGUUCCACUGACAUGAAGUGAUUCUCACCUUCUCUGUCUGUUGCCAGAGGGAAGGUAUCUUCGUUCAGGUAUGGUGGCAGGUUGCUGAUAUGUUUAGCCAGGGUCCUUUGGUCAGUAAGGCGCUUGUCUUCCCCUAAGGAUGCAUUCCUGUCAACAAGGUGGCUCAUUGGCAUUCUGCUGUGAAGAUGGAAGAAAUCUGCCUGUAGCAACACAGCAAUGGCAAGGUCAAAGGCUCAUUGUGGUAUCUUUGGCUGAGAGAGACCCUCUAUGCUUUCCUGCUUAAUUUCUGUGUGCCUGCAGACUAGUCACCUGGUCUCUGCUCCCCAUGCGACAAGUGAGGAGGAUAAUUCUCUCUACCCCAACAGGUGAGUCAUGAAGAUCAUAGUAUGAGACACUUAGUGAUAUGUACUGUGCAA
rnacentral:lncRNA from 1 species